ACUGAACAGUGGGAAGAGUCUAACCAGUUCCCGAGGCUGGAUGUCUGAGAUCAAGUUGCCGGCAGGGCCAUGUUACCUCUGAAGCCACUAGGGAGGGAUUGUUCCAGGCACCUCACCCAGCUUCUGGUAGCGCCUUGGUUUGUGGCAGCAUAAUUCUUAUCUUCACAUAGCAGUCUCCCUGUGUGCCUGUCUGUGUCCAGAUUUCCUCAUUUUAAGGACACCAGUUGUAUUGGAUCAGCAACAGGACCUGAGGACGUGGCCUUAAAGGGGUACACCUCGAGGCAACAACUUAGAAGUUAAGAAAGUGGGCUCGGGACCUGGAGUGCCUGGGUUCUAAGCUCAACUCUGGCACUUAUUUAACAUGUGUCCAGAGGCAGAUCGGCUCUCUCAGGGAUGGAAGACGCUACCUCUGAGAUCGUCAACACAUGGGGCCUCUGUGCUCAUGCCAGAAGUCCAGCCGUGUUGGGAACUGCCACGGGGCAGCCCACUGAGGGAGAGCAUUUUGCGACGAAGGGCCAGCUGCCUUAUUCUGGGGCAAUCGCUGGAAGAGAGCCAGCAAAUAGCGGUGGCUUUGUUGACCUUCUUCAGGAGUCCUAUGGGAAUCUGGCCAUUAUUUGGGGAGAAUGCAAAGGAGCUGGAAAAGGGGACAGGAAGAAGAGGAGGAAGGGAAAUGAAGACUACCAUGAAAACAAUAGAAUUGAAAUGUGGAUUUUUACCACCACUGCAAAUAAAAUA